UGGCGGCCAUAGCGCCGUGGAACCACCUGAUCCCAUGCCGAACUCAGAAGUGAAACGCGGUAGCGCCGAUGGUAGUGUGGCAUUCGCCAUGCGAGAGUA
rnacentral:rRNA from 2 species